CCCUUCAUUCUACUGCUGAGACCCCGGAGGCUCAGAGAGAGAGGUGGCUGCCCAAAGCUGCACCACCCCACAUCACAACCGUAACCAGGCUGGGCUCCGAUACCACACUUCCUACAUUCCCACCCUGGACCUGGUCUGUUACCUUCUGCCUUACUGGUCCAGUAGACUCUUACGAGGAGGCAAUGAUUCAAAGUAAGUUAAGAGGACUUUGCACCAUGCUGAGUUUAUGAUGAUGUUAGAAAAGCAGGCAAGUUAACUUCCUUUCUCUGUGCAUCUUUGGAAAAACAAAGGGCCUUUGUGUAAUUUCUUGGAAUUUGAUUAACUGAAUUAGUCUGUGUGUUGCUUUCUUGGUCAUGUUAUUUAUAACUACCAUCUUAAUUUUUUUUUUUAGCUAAAAAUAUUUUUCCUUAUUUUGUGUACUACAUUAUAACAUGAAAUUGGAAUUUUAAAAUAAGAAUUUUAUACUAAAUUCAAUAAAAUCUGUAAGUGCUUUUACUCCAAUACAUAGGUGUAAAGUG